rnacentral:rRNA from 1 species
UACGGAGGGGGCAAGCGUUGUCCGGAUUUAUUGGGCGUAAAGAGCGUGUAGGCGGCCAUACAGGUCCGUUGUGAAAACUGGAGGCUUAACCUCCAGACGUCGAUGGAAACCGUAUGGCUAGAGUCCGGAAGAGGAGAGUGGAAUUCCUGGUGUAGCGGUGAAAUGCGCAGAUAUCAGGAAGAACACCCGUGGCGAAGGCGGCUCUCUGGGACGGUACUGACGCUGAGACGCGAAAGCGUGGGGAGCGAACAGG